UCUUCGUAGGUGAACCUGCGGAGGGAUCAUUAGUGAAUUGCAACAUGGGGAGUCCCUUUCUCACCGGAAGAAGGCCCCGCAACUCCACUUUAUUCUUCACACUUUGUGAACUGUUCGUGUGUCCUUCAGCGGCUUUGCGGCCGCUGCUGGACGCGUUAGCCUUUUUAACCCUUUUUGCACUUGCAAAAGUCUUGAUAAUACAAGUUGAUCAAAUGAAAGAAAAACUUUCAGCAAUGGAUCUCUUGGCUCUCGCAUCGAUGAAGAACGCAGC
rnacentral:misc_RNA from 1 species